GGGCAGGUGCCCGAGUGGCUAAAGGGGACGGUCUGUAAAAUCGUUGCGGAAGCUACGCAGGUUCGAAUCCUGCCCUGCCCA
rnacentral:tRNA from 1 species